GACGAACGCUGGCGGCGUGCUUAACACAUGCAAGUCGAACGGAAAGGCCCUGCUUUUGUGGGGUGCUCGAGUGGCGAACGGGUGAGUAACACGUGAGUAACCUGCCCUUGACUUUGGGAUAACUUCAGGAAACUGGGGCUAAUACCGGAUAGGAGCUCCUGCUGCAUGGUGGGGGUUGGAACGUUUCGGCGGUUGGGGAUGGACUCGCGGCUUAUCAGCUUGUUGGUGGGGUAGUGGCUUACCAAGGCUUUGACGGGUAGCCGGCCUGAGAGGGUGACCGGCCACAUUGGGACUGAGAUACGGCCCAGACUCCUACGGGAGGCAGCAGUGGGGAAUAUUGCACAAUGGGCGGAAGCCUGAUGCAGCAACGCCGCGUGUGGGAGGACGGCCUUAGGGUUGUAAACCGCUUUCGCCUGUGACGAAGCGUGAGUGACGGUAAUGGGUAAAGAAGCACCGGCUAACUACGUGC
rnacentral:rRNA from 1 species